CGAGACUCGGGGGUUACGACCCAGCUACAUACCAGUGAGUGGGCUUUUGGUUUUCUAUAUAUAUAUAUAUACGCGUAUAUAUGAUUUACAUUUUCCCAGAAAUCGUUUUAAAUGAAAUUAUGUUUUAAAUGCCAUGUCAAUUGCAUUACAUUUUAGUAUAUGCAUUAGUAUAGAUACGCAUAUUAUUGCAUGGUGCUGCAGACACACAAGUAAGCUCCAAGUGAGUACAUAUUGAUGAUAGUGAUUGCAGUGUGUAUGAUUAUGUUGAGAUACAUUUAGUGCUCAUUAUCAUACACCCCGGUGUUAGUGCUCCGCUCUAGGACAGGGCCUAGCCUUCACGUGAUCGUUCACCUCCCAUACCACACGCUCACCUUGGAUCCAAGGUAGGUGCCAGCCUGUUGUACAGACCACAUUAGGUGGUUUCGAAUCGUAGGUGACUUGCGAUACUUCACACAACCUUCACGUGAUCGUAGCACUUGAGCGUAUUUAUUUACACCCAGCCUGUCGUACAGACCACAUUAGGUGGUUCCGACUCGUGUGUAGAAAUUGGUUAUGAGUGAUAGAUUCAGCCGUAUAGGUCACGUUAGGUGCUCCCGUUGAUAUAUCAUUUUAUUUUGAUUUACAUCGCCUGGCUUACAUAUUUAUCAUUGAGAUACUUGACAUGGUACAUACUUUGGUUUUCAUUGCUUUCAAGCAUGAUUUCUAUAUACGUAUGUAUUAUUAUUUUCUGGGAAAUUGUACGGGUUUUACGGUGAGGGGUUAUUAUUUUUGGAAUGAGAAAUGAUUUUUAAAAGCUUUGUUUUUGCCCACUUACGUUUUCUGUUUUGCGCCCCUCCAGGUUUUAGUUAGAGGUUCUUGUUGGUGGCUCAUGAGGACUCUACGGUAGUUCUGAUAGACAUCCAUCAAUGUAGGGUUUUUUUUC
rnacentral:lncRNA from 1 species